AGGAAAAGGAAGAGUGCAAAACAUAGGGGAGAAUGUUUGCUGGAAAACGACAUGGUUAAAACCUAAUGAUCUUAGCAGUGAGGGGUCGCUGUCUGCCUAUUGAAAGAGGCCAGAUUGCUGUGAAGUUCCUGAGAUAUUUCUGGCUAAUGCCACAAGAUUUACCGGUAUGUCGUGUGAAAAACUAAGGAAAAGCUCUUCAUUUUAUGGAUAUGGAAAGAAAAAUCAAGAUGGAUUAUAUUUUUUUUAAUUAUCCAGUCUUUAAUUAGUUAAGUAAAACUAGUUAAACUUUUUAAAAUCAAUUUUGAAUGAAUACCCUUUGGUUACAAGCUGUUUGAAUGUAAAAUGCGUCAUGGUGAUUAUAGCCAAAUGAAGGUUUUUACUAUUAUAGAAAGUUAUUAAGAUGAGAGCAGAGUGGACAGAACAUAUUCCUGGGAUUGGGCUGGAAAGAAAGCCCACCAUCAAUAAUCAUUACUGGCUGAAUUAUGGAAUAUUUAGUCUUAGUGUAACAGUAUUGUGUAUUUAUUUAUGGUAUUAAGGUGUUUAUUCUGAAAACGAAGAAAGCACAAUAUAGCAAGUCAUGAGGAAGGUCACUGAUGAAAUGUAGUUUAAAAUUGUACAGACAUCCUGAAUGAAUAUAAGUGUUAAGUAAUUAAUACCAUCUGAUGUAACCAAGGUGGUUGGGCCCCAUGCAUAAUCAUUUUCCCUAAAUAGCUACAUGAAUAAAUUUUUCCCAAUCCAAAUAAAUUGGUACCCACACAAAACUUUAAGGGGAAAAAAAUACAUUUCUCUAAAACCUCAGUUAAUGUACAUUACUGCACCGAGCAUUGUGUACAACAGUUGUACACAAUGCCAAGAGAAAAGGCAAAGUACAGGAAACAAGAACAGUGCAGAAUAAGGAUGUUAAAGUGAUACAUUUGGGCAUAUGAAACACUAACCAAAGAUAUGCUUCAGAAUUGGAUCCCCAAAGGUACAAUUCCAAUGGAACUUGAAAGCUCAACAUAGAAGUUUCCAUUAAGAUUACUAAUUGAUUCAAACCUAUUACUAAACAAGGUGUACUAAUGUCAUGAUGGUGUCUUUCACACAGCACAGAUAUACUUAAAUGGUAAUAUAUAAAAAAUAAGGCAACUAAAUAAGACCAGGGACCUUAAGCUGUUACCUGUGUAAGGGAUUUAAACUUCCAGAACCAAUCUGCAACUUAAUGGACUUAGUGGAGAUCCUAAAAUGUACGGAUCUGCUGUUUGGACUGGUUUUGUGAUAAACAUAUAGAACACAGUCUACAUUUGUGUGAUGUUACUGACUAGCCAGUAAGAAUUUUCUCUCUGCUUUACACCAUUCUUUCUGAUUGCAUUAAACAGUAGGCUCAAUCCUACCAUUUGGUGUUUUGUUUUCCUUCCCAUUUGAUAUUUUCUAAAAUAAGUUCUAUUGUCAGAAAUUACAGCAUCCACUGCACUUGGAAUCCCAAUCAAGUGCCCUCUGAACUGAUUAUACACUUCAUAAUCCUUGCUGUUUGCCCAGCCUGUGUGAAAGUUUUUGACCACUUUUCAAGGGUUUUAGAGCCUCUAAAUCCCAGCCUACCAGGAUAGUCUGCUUGUCUUGCCAUUUUCUCCUUCCCAUCUUUCCUUCCAAAAGCUUGAUUCCAGAUCAAUGAUUUGCA
rnacentral:lncRNA from 1 species